CACGUAGGGCGCGAGCGUUGUCCGGAAUUAUUGGGCGUAAAGAGCUCGUAGGCGGCCUGUUGCGUCCGCUGUGAAAGCCCGGGGCUUAACCCCCGGGUCUGCAGUGGAUACGGGCAGGCUAGAGGUAGGUAGGGGAGAAUGGAAUUCCCGGUGUAGCGGUGAAAUGCGCAGAUAUCGGGAGGAACACCUGUGGCGAAAGCGGCUCACUGGACCACAACUGACGCUGAGGCACGAAAGCGUGGGGAGCAAACAGG
rnacentral:rRNA from 1 species